GAGGGUAUAGCUCAGCGGUAGAGUGUGCAUUUAGCGUGCACAAAGUCCUGGGUUCAAUCCCCAGUAUCUCCA
rnacentral:tRNA from 1 species